CCGAGGCCGCGGCGGGGGAGUGCAGGGCUGUCAUGACGAUGACCCCGGGGGGCAGGGACAGGCCGCCCAGCGCCGGGAUGGCCGAGAAGAUGCUCUACCUGAAUAGUUCAGAUAUUUCCAGCAUCUUUUCUGAUGUAGGGCUAUCGAUCAGAAACGCUCUCUCGGGAGGCAGUCGUGGGGCUACGUCUAGUUUCCAGACUCCGCCCAACCUACCGAGUGCAAAAACUUCGUCUUCUCCCAACGUUGUGCACUAAAAAGCGGGCUUUUUGUAAACAAAUCCAGAUGAAGGGAGCGUAAAUCUACAGAAGGAACCUCACCCCCGGCUGCACUGGGGACCGGUGGGCGUCUUUCCGUCGGAGAAAAAAAAAAAAAAAAAAAAG